GCCUCUGCACGAUUCAGGUAAGUGGAAUAAAAUACAUUGUAAAUAAACAUUAUUAAAACAGAUUGUGAAGUCAUUCAUUCAAAACUUGCUAUGACCUAAGCCUAAAUGACUUAAUUUCUUUUUAGAAUUAAGACAACCUUAGCAGGAGAGCCCCAGCAGUAACUUUCUCUCAAGCAGAUGAGCAAUAAGUUGCUUUGUAUGAACACCACCCUAACAAUCAAGUAGCCUGUUAACAGUAGACCAAAGGUAUGAUGAUCAAUUAUAAAUGCAAUAUGGUUGAAAGGUCAGUAAACAAACAACAAAAAGGUAAUUUCUUAAUAGAAUGUCUAUACAUUUUUUGCUUUUGUUACAUAUUUCAUACAUCAAAAUCAUUAAACGUUAAUAAUUAUGUAUUCCAACUUGUUGCAGCUUGACAAAAAUGUAGCUUGAAGGAGAAGGGACAGCUGAGUAACAAAGUCCUGGUACGCAGACGACGAUACUAUUACACUGACAAGAGUGUAAUGAUGAUGGAGACACAAGCCAGAGAAAGUGGGGACCAAACACCAGGCCAGAAUUCUGCAUGAGUCAGAUCCAGUGGGUGCAGAUCAUCAUACAGAUGGUUCAAGUGUGGAUCCACCUAAUUGUCACGACAGGGUUGGAGAGACAGGACGCAAACGCAGAGUUCGAACCAAUAAAUAACAUUUAAUAAUAA